CUCGAGCGCGCAGCUGACGGAGCAGACCGCGUGAGGGAGGAAGGCUCUGUGGGUUGUAAACCCCUUUUAUCAGGGAAGAACACAAUGACGGUACCUGAUGAAUCAGCCUCGGCUAACUCCGUGCCAGCAGCCGCGGUAAUACGGAGGAGGCAAGCGUUAUCCGGAAUUAUUGGGCGUAAAGCGUCCGCAGGUGGCUUUUCAAGUCCGUUGUCAAAGAGUGGAGCUUAACCCCAUAAAGGCAGUGGAAACUGAAUCGCUGGAGUGCGACAGGGGCAAAGGGAAUUCCUAGUGUAGCGGUGAAAUGCGUAAAGAUUAGGAAGAACACCGGUGGCGAAAGCGCUCUGCUGGACCUCAACUGACACUGAUGGACGAAAGCUAGGGGAGCGAAAGGGAUUAGAUACCCCUGUAGUCCUACCCGUAAACGAUGGAUACUAGGCGUGGAUUGUAUCGACCCGAGCCGUGCCGUAGCUAACGCGUUAAGUACCCCGCCUGGGGAGUACGCUCGCAAGAGUGAAACUCAAAGGAAUUGACGG
rnacentral:rRNA from 1 species